GCCGGUGUGGCUCAGUGGAUAGAGCGUUGGCCUGUGGGCUAAAGGGUCCCUGGUUUGAUUCCGGUCAAGGGCA
rnacentral:tRNA from 1 species